GCCGCAGAAGCUGUCCAGCUGGCAACCCUGUUACCAAGCAUUACUCAAGCGUCACGUCUAACAGUUGAAGCGUCGCUGCAAGAUGAGCGACAGAUGUCAAAGAGGAUCGGAUGACCUGUCAAAGGUGUUUCCGGUCAUCGCAGCCGCAGUUUGUCAUUCAUUAUCAGCGAUCACGAAGCGAAGGGUGUUAAAAUUGUUCUAUCGUAGAAAAGUUAUUGUAGUUACAGAAAGUUUAAUUAUCUGAGUAAAGUUUUAUUUAGAUCGCGACUUAGUGAGACAAUUACGGGUGAAUAGUGAUGGAGUGCACAAAUUACACACUGUGAGAUAAUCUGAACCGAAGGUAAUUUUAACAGCAACGAGAUUAGCGUAGGUUAGGAUUGCGAUAAAGCCAGUGUAAUAAUUUCGAUGCAUUCACAGUUCGUUCCGUAGCGUAGUCCAAAGUCGUGUCCACGUGAGCAGUCCGAGAUUCGCCAAGAUCGUCAGUAAAAAUAAACGUCUCACGUUGCGUGAAGGUUAUACUCUAUUCGCAGGGAGUACGGGCUAAGAGGCCUACUGAAUUUUGAAGCACCACAAUAUACGAUUGCUGUCAAACCCGGUUUGCCCUUUAUUUGCUCCCUAUCUCUCGCAACAA